CUGAAAGGGAGCGAAGCUGGCCGAGCGAACUAGACUUUUUUUCAGGGACGCUUGGCGGCCGAGAGCGAGUGUUGCGAGACAACAAAAAGCUCGACCUCAAAUCAGGUAGGAAUACCCGCUGAACUUAAGCAUAUCAAUAAGCGGAGGAAAAGAAACCAACAGGGAUUGCCUCAGUAGCGGCGAGUGAAGCGGCAAGAGCUCAGAUUUGAAAUCGUGCUUUGCGGCACGAGUUGUAGAUUGCAGGUUGGAGUCUGUGUGGAAGGCGGUGUCCAAGUCCCUUGGAACAGGGCGCCCAGGAGGGUGAGAGCCCCGUGGGAUGCCGGCGGAAGCAGUGAGGCCCUUCUGACGAGUCGAGUUGUUUGGGAAUGCAGCUCCAAGCGGGUGGUAAAUUCCAUCUAAGGCUAAAUACUGGCGAGAGACCGAUAGCGAACAAGUACUGUGAAGGAAAGAUGAAAAGCACUUUGAAAAGAGAGUGAAACAGCACGUGAAAUUGUUGAAAGGGAAGGGUAUUGCGCCCGACAUGGGGAUUGCGCACCGCUGCCUCUCGUGGGCGGCGCUCUGGGCUUUCCCUGGGCCAGCAUCGGUUCUUGCUGCAGGAGAAGGGGUUCUGGAACGUGGCUCUUCGGAGUGUUAUAGCCAGGGCCAGAUGCUGCGUGCGGG
rnacentral:rRNA from 1 species